GAACCUCAAGCCAGGCAUUCUCAGUGUCUUGUUCUGAGGAAGGGAAAUGCAGAGCAGCUGCCAGGCCAGGUCUGUCUUUAGCCCUCUGCUUCCCUCUAUUCACAUAGGGGAAGCUGUACCAGAGCCCUGGCUUAUGAUCUGAAGGAAACAAUACUGUCACUGAGAUAGGAUUGAUGGGGCAUUUUCCUCCUGGAAGUGCUGAUCCAUGAAUCAUUUCCAAGCAAACCACCCAUGGCAUCCCCAUUCCCUCUACUCUCUCCUCCUCCCUUCUUUCUUAUAUCCUACCACCCCCAGCUGACAUCUAGCCUAGGCCUCUAACUCUGUCCACCCCUGGGCUUGACCCCACACUGGACAGCUUCUCUGGCCACAGCUAGAAUAGCCAUGAGUUGCACCUGCGGGCCCUCCCACCACACUUACUGCUCUGUCACCUCCUUCUCAUUUCCCCAGAGGGGCUGCAGUGGGGUGAGAGCCCUGCAUUAGAAAGCCAAAGGGCCUGGGUCUGAAUCUGAACUUUACCAAUCACCGGGCAGGAAAUUCAAGUCAUGCAUGUAAACCCCUUAGCACAGUGCCCGGCACACAGAGCAGUUCUUACGUGUCAGAAUGGGUUUCUCUCCCUCCUCCUUCCCUCUUCAUCUAUCUGGGAUAGUGAGGCAGCCCCUUCCUUAAGGGGCACAGGAAGUACCCGCAGGAUUGUGAACCUGGUUAUGUCUGCAAAUGCCACCCCAAGGCCACUUUCCUCCUCUCCCCAACCAUUGCAGGAUCCACAGCAGGCUGCAUUAGGGGUUCCAGAUGCAGCCAAGGACGGAGAGCCUACUCAGGAGGAGGAAGGAGUGAGAAUAAAAGGACGUGGGUCUGAGGGGACCAGGGAAAAGACACAGAAGUCAAGAGAAGCGGUUCUUCUGAUCAACCCGCUGGAGGAGAAGGGAGAUGGUGCUGGUGGCCUUGAGAAUCAAGGGCUGAGAACCCAGGCUUGAUGCAGAGAGCUUGGUGAGGAGUCAGCAGCCAACUAAACUGGCUGCUUGAAUCCUACAGCUGGUGACAGUGGAACUGGAUAUGGUGUGCAUGUAUGUGAUUCUCAGAAACCAGCAAAGGAGACGGUGCAUUCCAGGGAGACGCUGAGGGUGUCACCCAAUAGGGAUCUACAGCUGUUGAUUUUCAGAUGUGCUCCACAGACCCCCUGGGGGUUCCAUGGACGCCACCAGGAGCAGUCGACUACUUUUGGGCCCAGGUUUGAGGGUCGUGAAACAGGGCAAUUCCACUUUGACAACUUUUACACUGGAACAUCCAUGUUAGGUUUCUUCUGGAGAAAGCACUUUGGCUAAAUCAGUCAGAAUGGCCCGGAACUAGGUAGCCUCCAUGUGUGCCUAUUUCAGGAAAGAGCAGACAUCACUCAGCUUUCCAUAUGGAAGGGGGUCGAGAUGGCUUAAGCUGACACAGGGAAACGAGGAGGACAGGAUCUUGUCUGUGCAGCCAGGCCUCCCGGGAACCUAGGGGAAGAAGAGUCACCAGGCGCCAGUGUUGGGAGUGCAGCAUGGCCAAGUUGCUGGGAGGCGAAAGUGAAACGUGUUUAGGGUUAAAGGAGGCCAGAGGACUCAGCAGCAGAAGCUGAGCACACGGCUUCAGUCUAGUGACUUCACAACUCUCUCCACCUCCGCCUCCCCCGGGGGUGCUUCUCUUUUCUCCCCCUUUCUCUCUUCCAACUGGCUAAUUAUCACUAGACUUCCCCAUUCAAAUUCCUGGGAAACAUGGCCAGGGCCUGUCAUCAGCUUUCCUUGGUCUUUUUACUUGUGGCACAAUCCUGUGGCUCAGAAUGCAACCAAUCCCGUGCCAGGAGAACCCUGGGGCUCCCAACCCCAGCAGAGGCUGUAGAGGUGCCACAGAUUCCCUUGGAAGGGCAGCAGGUGAUAUAAGCAACUGGGAUGUCCUGUCUGUGAGGCUUCCCAGGCAUCGUGACUGACCUGCCUGAAGGCCUGGCUGGCAUUGUGCUGGCCUACCUAGGACAUUCAACUGUUUGCUUGCCAGGCUCUCAAGGCCUUCUUCCUCUUGAUGCAGUUCCAACAAUGUCCCUACCUACCACAGCCUAUUUCACAUGCAGAUGCUGGUGCACACACCCCCUCAGCCGCUGGUUGGUAGGAUCCAUAAGUGAUGGUGCGGGACUACAUUAUUAUUUUAUCUUAUAUAAUCAUGCACCCCAUAAUGACAUUUUGGUCAACAAUGAAGUAUAUACACAAUGGUAGUCCCAUGAGAUCAUAAUGGAGCUAAAAAAUCCCUAUCAUCUAGUGAUGCCAUAGCCAUUAUAACAUCGCAGUCCAACACAUUACCUUGUCUAUGUUUGGAUUCACAAAUACUUGCCUUUGUGUUAUAAUUGCCUACAGUAUUCAGUACAGUAACAUGUUGUACAGGUUUGUGUCUAGGAGCAAUGGGCCUAUAUAGCAAUAGGACCAUAUAGCCUAGGGGUACAGCAGGCUAUACCAUCAAGGUUUGUCUAAGUACGUGCUAUGAUGUUUGUACAAUGAUGAAAUUGCCUAAGGACGCAUUUCUCGGAAUGUAUCCCCAUUAUUUAAUUUUAUUUAAUUUAAUUUAAUUUUAGAGAUGGAGUCUUGCUCUGUUGCCCAGGCUGGAGUGCAGUGGCGCGAUCUCAGCUCACUGCAAGCUCCGCCUCCCGGGUUCGAGCCAUUCUCCUGCCUCAGCCUCCUGAGUAGGUGGGACUACAGGUGCCCGCCACAAUGCCCGGCUAAUUUUUUGUAUUUUUAGUAGAGACGGGGUUUCACUGUAUUAGCCAGGAUGGUCUCGAUCUCCUGACCUCGUGAUCCACCCGCCUCAGCCUCCCAAAGUGCUGGGAUAACAGGUGUGAGCCACCGUGCCUGGCCGUAUCCCCAUUGUUAAGUGAUGCAUGACUAUAUGAUUCUGAUUACCAAAGUAAUAUAUGUUGGAUGUGCAAAAGUAAAACUGUAUAGAAAAAAAUUAUGUAGAAAGAAAAAGUGCUCCCUAAUUAAACCCAUAGUCGAUAAAUUCAACAGGUUUGUGAAUGUAUCUUCAGAGUUUUUCUAGACAUUUACUUACUUAUUAUUUUUCAGAGGUGGGGUCUCACUAUGUUGCCCAGGCUAGAGUGCUGUGGCUAUUCACAGGUGUGAUCAUAGGCACACAACCAGCCUCGAACUCCAGGCCUCAGGUGAUCCUCCUACCGCAGUCUCCUGAGUAGCUGGGACUGUAGGCAUGCACCACUGCACCCAGCUUCUAGGCAUUUAACAAUGUGUGCAUA
ensembl:lncRNA novel transcript